UCUCAGUGCUGUCAGUGUCUUAAUGGUGUAUUGAUUGGCCCACACGCCUGCUAUCUUUAAAGAAGCAUUAUUACUCUGUUGGGCUCAACAUAAAAAACUACUUUUAAAGACCUUUUAAAGUGAAUCAGCUGAAGACGGCAGGUUAUCAAUGACUCAUAGGAGGGAGAUGAUAAGAAAGCUCCGGAGUUGCAGUUUCCUUCUUCAUCUUCAUCCUCUGAUGGUAUCUGUCUGAUCAUAGUCUCAAUACAGAGGAGAAUCUCUCCAGAAAAUCACCAGCCAAAGAGGGCUAGGAAAGUGGGACCCUGUGAAUUCAAGGGUCUUUCUCUACAAGAUUCCCCUGAAGGCUUAAUACUCUCAAUUCA
rnacentral:lncRNA from 1 species